AGGUUCUAUAGUCUAGUGGUUAGGACAGCGGUUUUUGAGACGAUCCUUCGUGAUCUACUUCAUUACCGUUAGCCCCGGUUCGAACCCGGGUAGGACCUU